UCCUUCUUUUUCCCUCUUUAUCCUGAUUCACUGGGUUUAAAGGGUGCGUAGGUGGGUUGGUAAGUCAGUGGUGAAAUCUCCGAGCUUAACUUGGAAACUGCCAUUGAUACUAUCAGUCUUGAAUACCGUGGAGGUCAGCGGAAUAUGUCAUGUAGCGGUGAAAUGCUUAGAUAUGACAUAGAACACCAAUUGCGAAGGCAGCUGACUACGCGAAUAUUGACACUGAUGCACGAAAGCGUGGGGAUCAAACAGG
rnacentral:rRNA from 1 species